rnacentral:rRNA from 1 species
UACGUAGGUGGCAAGCGUUGUCCGGAUUUACUGGGUGUAAAGGGCGUGUAGCCGGGAAGGCAAGUCAGAUGUGAAAUCUGGAGGCUCAACCUCCAAACUGCAUUUGAAACUGUCUUUCUUGAGUAUCGGAGAGGUAAUCGGAAUUCCUUGUGUAGCGGUGAAAUGCGUAGAUAUAAGGAGGAACACCAGUGGCGAAGGCGGAUUACUGGACGACAACUGACGGUGAGGCGCGAAAGCGUGGGGAGCAAACAGG